GACGAACGCUGGCGGCGUGCUUAACACAUGCAAGUCGAGCGGAGCGGCGAACGGGUGAGUAACGCGAGAGUAACUGACCCCCUCUCUGGGAUAACAGUUGGAAACGGCUGCUAAUACCGGAUAGUGGGGGAUGACUCGCGUCUUAUCAGCUUGUUGGUGGGGUAGUGGCCUACCAAGGCGGCGACGGGUAGCCGGCCUGAGAGGGCGACCGGCCCAAUUGGGCUGGGAUAGGGGCCAAACGCCUACGGGAGGCAGCGGUGGGGAAUAGUGCACAAUGGGGGAAACCCUUAUGCAGCAACGCCGCGUGCGGGAUGACGGUCUUCGGGUUGUAAACCGUUUUCAGCGAUGACGCGGUAGUGGCAGAAGAAGCACCGGCUAACUACGUGCCAGCAGCCGCGGUAAUUC
rnacentral:rRNA from 1 species